AUCGUUCAACUCGAAAGAGUCGGAAGUAAGCUAAAUGGCUGAAGGAACGCAUG
rnacentral:ncRNA from 10 species